AUCGAUGAAGAACGCAGCGAAAUGCGAUAAGUAAUGCGAAUUGCAGAAUUCCAGUGAGUCAUCGAAUCUUUGAACGCACAUUGCGCCCUUUGGUAUUCCGAAGGGCAUGCCUGUUCGAGCGUCAUUAUCACCCCUCAAGCCCCUGGCUUGGUGUUGGACGGUUUGGUGGAGGUCCCCUCGGGGGCUCCUGCCCCUCCCAAAGACAAUGACGGCGGCCUCGUUGGACCCCCGGUACACUGAGUUCUUCACGGGACACGUAUCGGACACAUGGGUUUACGGGACACGGUCUGCCUCCCCUCAGGGAGAAUCUUUCUAAGGUUGACCUCGGAUCAGGUAGGGAUACCCGCUGAACUUAAGCAUAUCAAUAAGCGGAGGAAAAGAAACCAACAGGGAUUGCCUCAGUAACGGCGAGUGAAGCGGCAACAGCUCAAAUUUGAAAUCUGGCCUCUUUGGGGUCCGAGUUGUAAUUUGUAGAGGAUGUUUCGGGUACCGCCUCGGUUUAAAUUUCUUGGAACAGAAUGUCAAAGAGGGUGAGAAUCCCGUCUUGGACCGGCGGUAGGGCCCAUGUGAAACUCCUUCGACGAGUCGAGUUGUUUGGGAAUGCAGCUCAAAAUGGGUGGUAAAUUUCAUCUAAAGCUAAAUAUUGGCCAGAGACCGAUAGCGCACAAGUAGAGUGAUCGAAAGAUGAAAAGCACUUUGAAAAGAGAGUUAAACAGUAUGUGAAAUUGUUGAAAGGGAAGCGCUUACAACCAGACUUGCGCGCGGCGGUUCCCCCUUCCUUUUGGUUGGGCUACUCCGUCGUGUCCAGGCCAACAUCGGUUCUGGGGGUCGGUUAAAGACCCUGGGAAUGUACCUACCCUUCGGGCGUAGACUUAUAGCUCAGGGUGUCAUGCGACCUCCCGGGACCGAGGAACGCGCUUCGGCUCGGAUGUUGGCGUAAUGGUUGUCAGCGACCCGUCUUGAAACACGG
rnacentral:rRNA from 1 species